rnacentral:rRNA from 1 species
CACGCCGUAAACGAUGGGUGCUAGGUGUAGGAGGUAUCGACCCCUUCUGUGCCGUAGCUAACGCAAUAAGCACCCCGCCUGGGGAGUACGGCCGCAAGGUUGAAACUCAAAGGAAUUGACGGGGGCCCGCACAAGCGGUGGAGCAUGUGGUUUAAUUCGACGCAACGCGAAGAACCUUACCAGGGCUUGACAUCCCCUGACCACGUAUGAAAGUACGUUUUCUGACUUCGGUUGGACAGGGAGACAGGUGG